rnacentral:rRNA from 1 species
CCUACGGGAGGCUGCAGUGGGGGAUAUUGGACAAUGGGGGCAACCCUGAUCCAGCCAUGCCGCGUGUGUGAAGAAGGCCCUCGGGUUGUAAAGCACUGUCAGUGAGGAAGAACGCCUGGUGGUUAAUACCCAUCAGGAAAGACAUCACUCACAGAAGAAGCACCGGCUAACUCCGUGCCAGCAGCCGCGGUAAUACGGAGGGUGCGAGCGUUAAUCGGAAUUACUGGGCGUAAAGCGCGCGUAGGUGGCUUGAUAAGCCGGUUGUGAAAGCCCCGGGCUCAACCUGGGAACGGCAUCCGGAACUGUCAAGCUAGAGUGCAGGAGAGGAAGGUAGAAUUCCCGGUGUAGCGGUGAAAUGCGUAGAGAUCGGGAGGAAUACCAGUGGCGAAGGCGGCCUUCUGGACUGACACUGACACUGAGGUGCGAAAGCGUGGGUAGCAAACAGGAUUAGAUACCCCAGUAGUC